AGUAACGGCGAGUGAAGCGGCAACAGCUCAAAUUUGAAAUCUGGCGUCUUCGGCGUCCGAGUUGUAAUUUGCAGAGGGCGCUUUGGUAUUGGCAGCGGUCCAAGUUCCUUGGAACAGGACGUCACAGAGGGUGAGAAUCCCGUACGUGGUCGCUAGCCUUUACCGUGUAAAGCCCCUUCGACGAGUCGAGUUGUUUGGGAAUGCAGCUCUAAAUGGGAGGUAAAUUUCUUCUAAAGCUAAAUACUGGCCAGAGACCGAUAGCGCACAAGUAGAGUGAUCGAAAGAUGAAAAGCACUUUGGAAAGAGAGUUAAAAAGCACGUGAAAUUGUUGAAAGGGAAGCGCUUGCAGCCAGACUUGCCUGUAGUUGCUCAUCCGGGUUUCUACCCGGUGCACUCUUCUAUAGGCAGGCCAGCAUCAGUUUGGGCGGUUGGAUAAAGGUCUCUGUCAUGUACCUCCUUUCGGGGAGAACUUAUAGGGGAGACGACAUGCAACCAGCCUGGACUGAGGUCCGCGCAUCUGCUAGGAUGCUGGCGUAAUGGCUGUAAGCGGCCCGUCUUGAAACACGGACCAAGGAGUCUAACAUCUAUGCGAGUGUUUGGGUGUCAAGCCCGAACGCGUAAUGAAAGUGAACGGAGGUGGGAACCUUUCGGGGUGCACCAUCGACCGAUCCUGAUGUCUUCGGAUGGAUUUGAGUAAGAGCAUAGCUGUUGGGACCCGAAAGAUGGUGAACUAUGCUUGAAUAGGGUGAAGCCAGAGGAAACUCUGGUGGAGGCUCGCAGCGGUUCUGACGUGCAAAUCGAUCGUCAAAUUUGGGCAUAGGGGCGAAAGACUAAUCGAACUAUCUAGUAGCUGGUUCCUGCCGAAGUUUCCCUCAGGAUAGCAGUAACGUUUUCAGUUUUAUGAGGUAAAGCGAAUGAUUAGAGGCCUGGGGGUUGAAACAACCUU
rnacentral:rRNA from 1 species